CAAGUGCAUCUUGUUGAUGAUAGGACGGACUCCAUUGUUUGGAAAUUGACGCCCUCGGGCUGCUACUCUGCUGCAUCCGCUUACACGGCCCAAUUCCUUGGGCAAACUGCUACAAACUUCAAGAGCGUUGUUUGGAAGAUUUGGGCUCCACCAAAGUGCAGAUUCUUUGCAUGCUAA
rnacentral:rRNA from 1 species